rnacentral:rRNA from 1 species
GCCAUCCUUGGGAUACCACCCUUGUAGUACUGGGACUCUAACCAUAGGCCAUGAAUCUGGUCUUGGGACACUGUCAGGUGGGCGGUUUGACGGGGGCGGGAGCCUCCCAAAAGGUAACGGAGGCGCUGAAAGGUUCUCUCAGUACGGUCGGAAAUCGUACGUAGAGUGUAAAGGCAAAAGAGAGCUUGAGUGCAAGACAUACAGGUCGGGCAAGGAUGAAAAGCGGACGUAGUGAGCCGGUGGUUCGGCGUGGAAGGGCCAUCGCUCAACGGAUAAAAGCUACCCUGGGGAUAACAGGCUUAUCUCCCCCAAGAGUCCACAUCGACGGGGAGGUUUGGCACCUCGAUGUCGGCUCAUCACAUCCUGGGGCUGUAGUAG